rnacentral:lncRNA from 1 species
AUAUGUGUGAAUGAUGGGGCAAUAUUUAAUAUUUAAUGUCAAUUUUGCAGGUGAGGCUUGUGUUUGAAGAAUCUGAAAUGAGUUAUUGUAGUCAAGCUUACACAUGGUGUUGUGCUAGAAGAAGAUAGGUGAUUUUUUUUUAUGCUCUUUAUUAGUUUUAUUGAAUCUUCCUUUUGUUAUCAAUUUCUGCAAUUUUACUAAUAUGCAUGCUUCUGUUUCAAUUGGAUUUUGAAUGCAGGUAUGGAAAUACCACUAUAGUGGAGAACACUGAGAGGUGGUGGAUGGAUCUCAUUUUCCAAAGGAUACAUGCAGAUUUUGGUUGUGAAAUUUACGAUUUUUUCUUACAAUCUUCAAUGGUUUCAAAUCUUUAAGUGAAUAUAAA